UCUAAACGACUCUCGGCAACGGAUAUCUCGGCUCUCGCAUCGAUGAAGAACGUAGCGAAAUGCGAUACUUGGUGUGAAUUGCAGAAUCCCGUGAACCAUCGAGUCUUUGAACGCAAGUUGCGCCCGAAGCCUUUCGGCCGAGGGCACGCCUGCCUGGGCGUCACGC
rnacentral:rRNA from 2 species